rnacentral:piRNA from 1 species
UUCGCCGUUACAAGAUGGCGCUGA